GAUCAUGGCUCAGGAUGAACGCUGGCGGCGUGCCUAACACAUGCAAGUCGAACGGAGCUGCUUUGAUGAAGUCUUCGGAUGGAUUUAAAACAGCUUAGUGGCGGACGGGUGAGUAACGCGUGGGUAACCUGCCUCACACUGGGGGAUAACAGUUAGAAAUAGCUGCUAAUACCGCAUAAGCGCACAGUUCCGCAUGGAACAGUGUGAAAAACUCCGGUGGUGUGAGAUGGACCCG
rnacentral:rRNA from 1 species